rnacentral:rRNA from 1 species
CGCGUAUACAAUUUACCUUUUACAGGAGGAUAGCCCAGAGAAAUUUGGAUUAAUACUCCAUGGUAUUACGGGAUCGCAUGGUUUUGUAAUUAAAGUUUCGGCGGUAGAAGAUGAGUAUGCGUCCUAUUAGCUAGUUGGUAAGGUAACGGCUUACCAAGGCGACGAUAGGUAGGGGUCCUGAGAGGGAGAUCCCCCACACUGGUACUGAGACACGGACCAGACUCCUACGGGAGGCAGCAGUGAGGAAUAUUGGUCAAUGGAGGCAACUCUGAACCAGCCAUGCCGCGUGCAGGAAGACUG